rnacentral:lncRNA from 13 species
GUCUUGCCUUACUGUUUCAUCAUGAAUCAGUGCAUCCUCCACCCUCCCUCGGUCUCAGCGAGCCUCCAGCACAGAAGCUGACUGCUAGUGGGCAGAGGGGGUGGCAUAAUGGCUUGGGAAAUCACUGCUUACCAUUCUGUUUCACAUCCAAUUGGUGAUUCAGUACACAGAUUCCUACCAUACCAUCUUGUACAGCUGCUGUGGGUCACUGCACAGUGGGGAGAAUUGUCUCCUCAGUGGCAACAGCCAUCUGGAAAGGUCUGGUCGAGGAAUACAUACCUGUUCCAAAGAAGGAUGACUGGGAUGCCAUUGCUGCAGCUUUCACAGAGAGGUGGGACUUCCCCCACCGUGUCGUGGCCAUCAACGGCAAGCAUGUCAUUAUCCAGGCACCACCCUGCUCAGGCUCAAUGUAUCACAAUUACAAGGGGUCCUUUUCCAUUGUUCUCCAUGCCGUGGCGGAUGCAAACUAACUCUUCCGGGUGAUUGAUGUGGGCGCCUAUGGCAAGGCCAGUGAUGGAGAGACCCUGAGCAACUGUGCCUUUGGGCAGGUUCUUCAAGGAGGCACCAUUGGGCUACCACAGGACACACCACUCCCUUGGCCCAGUCCCCCGUAUUUCUCCUCUGCAGCUGGAGCUGUUGUGUGGCAGCAGACGGUGGAGUGAUCCAUAACCAAUACCCCCAAGCUGUAGUCGUUACCACCUUAUACCCAAAGUCUCUUUUAAGAGGGGGCGGCCGGGUAGCCUAGUGGUUAGAGCGUUGGACUAGUAACUGCAAGUUCAAACCCCCGAGCUGACAAGGUACAAAUCUGUCGUUCUGCCCCUGAACAGGCAGUUAACCCACUGUUCCUAGGCCGUCAUUUAAAAAAAGAAUUUGUUCUUAACUGACUUGCCUAGUUAAAUAAAGGUAAAAUAAAAAUAAAAAUAAAAAGAGCCACCCACUAAGUAAAAAUAGCAAUUUUCCAUCCAUAUGUCUGCUGUCUGACUUAUUCAUCAUGAAUAAACCUCAGAGGCCCUAUACGUUCUCCUUUCUUGAUAAGCACACUUACUGAAUUGAUUAAGGGCUUGAUAGUAAAUAAACUCAAAUGUAUUCUAACCUUACACAAGUGCAUAAGUUAGAAUAUCA